AGUGAACGCUGGCGGUAGGCCUAACACAUGCAAGUCGAACGGCAGCACAGGAGAGCUUGCUCUCUGGGUGGCGAGUGGCGGACGGGUGAGGAAUACAUCGGAAUCUACUUUUUCGUGGGGGAUAACGUAGGGAAACUUACGCUAAUACCGCAUACGACCUACGGGUGAAAGCAGGGGACCUUCGGGCCUUGCGCGAUUGAAUGAGCCGAUGUCGGAUUAGCUAGUUGGCGGGGUAAAGGCCCACCAAGGCGACGAGCCGUAGCUGGUCUGAGGGAAUGAUCAGCCACACUGGAACUGAGACACGGUCCAGACUCCUACGGGAGGCAGCAGUGGGGAAUAUUGGACAAUGGGCGCAAGCCUGAUCCAGCCAUACCGCGUGGGUGAAGAAGGCCUUCGGGUUGUAAAGCCCUUUUGUUGGGAAAGAAAUCCAGCUGGCUAAUACCCGGUUGGGAUGACGGUACCCAAAGAAUAAGCACCGGCUAACUUCGUGCCAGCCGCCGCGGUAA
rnacentral:rRNA from 1 species